UCACCCUAGUUUUUUCUAGGGCUUCGAAAUUACAAAAGGCCUAUUGAAGGGGUAAAUUACAAAUCUGGAAAAGGCUUGUCGUCUGAGUCUGAAUCACUGUGGGAAAUCAUACAGAUUUAAUCACUCAACCUUCUGCUACUUCUUUUACUGGCGGCUAUCUACUUGCCGAGAGGUUGGUGCAAUAUUAAAUCUUAGAGCAAUGAGGUAGACCAUGCUGAAGAAAAGGAAAUCCUAUAAA